AUUGUAGGAGUGUAAACUUUGAAGAGGACGUCACCGCUCAGUAAAUGUACACAGACAUUCAAUUUCGUUCUCUUCAUUUUAGACAUAAUGCGUAACUGAUUAUUUUUUUAGCACACUGAUCGAUAUCUCGGUAAAAUAAUCUUCUUUUUUUUUAACUAGCGGGGCAGUGAAAUCUUUGCUUUGUGCUAAAGUCAACAGUGACAGAGUUUGAGCUCAAAUAAAUGCCGUGAUGUCUCCAGCCCUUUGCAGAAGGCUGAACGCGAGGUUCCACAUUGGGCUCCUAGCUUGCCAGUAAGCAUCCACCGUAUUUCACAGCAGGGCUCUGCUGGGGAGGGCUCCAUGGCUGUGCUGUCAGAGAGGUUCCUUCAGAGAGAAGAGGGAUAAGAAGGAGAGGAGGCCAUAACGAGAAGAGGAGAGGUUCGAAAAGGAGAAGCAGAUGGAUCUGCCAACACACACAAUGUCCCUUCUGCCGUGGGCUGUGCUGUGACCGCCCCAUGGCAGCGGCCAGAUGGAGGUGGAAUGGGACCAAUGGGAUCAAUGAGGUGAUGCCUACAAUCUUCUCCCUGCAUCACCUCAGAUCCAGAGACACAGAACCACAAAGGCACUUUCCUUUCUGAGUACUUGUCUACCUGGCUUCGUCUGCGUCUGACCUGUCUGGAUCUAUGAAAUAUCAAAGCUUGUGUCAGGCAGUGUGAAUAGGGAGAGAGAGGCACCAUUAAUGAUUAACUGUUCUAAAAGCCUAUCAGGCAGGCCAUGUGACAUGCUCGCAGCAUUUUUUGAGCAGAUUGGGGGAAGCUAGUGAGCAAACACAGGUGCUUUGGACUGGAGUCGGCGAUGCUGUCAGGGACAACCACAAACAAGAGCAGCACUGCCGAGCUAAAUGAGAGCCCACCCACUUUACUUACUCCCUGGCUAGCUUAGCUUAGUCACUGACUGCAGUGGCUGGAGAUCCUCACCAGAGACCAAGUCCAAUGUCCCCCCCCCCCAGUGUUCCAUAACCUUUCACACAAACAAAUCAAACUGGAGGAUUGGAGUCGCUGUGGUCUCAAGCAUAGGGGAAAGCAAACAAAUGAAUUGUGUUCCAGUUCUCACUUUCUAAAACAAACCAAAUGUGGGUUGAACACUUGUUCUUGAGAAUAGUGGAGGCAAUGAGAGAUAUUCCGAAAGGUGCUAAGGGUGUUCAGAAAUAUGCAUGAUGACAAACUGAUUCUCAGGAAAUGGAGUGGUUGAUUUGAUUGUUUCAUUAAUGUUUCAUGACAGGUGGAUGACGAAUAGAUCAUAAAGACACAAAAGCAUAUUUUCUGUCAACAAAGUAGACUGUUUUGUUGUCCUGAUUUUGUUAGGAUUUUUCUGGAGUUGUUUUCAAGGUUUUAUGAACACGGCCUAGGUCCAGACACUUAACCUUUUUUCUCCUCAAUAACACCUGUCCCUUUGUAAAAUGACUGAGUGCCUGCUGUAGCACAACUUUGAUAACACAAUCAGAUGAUAUGAUGGCGUUAACUGAACACGGCUUUCCGGCAGCGAGAUAAAUGAACAGCACGAUAACGCUAACAAAAGCCUAGCUCUGAUUGGUAAGUCUAUGAUUAGAAAACAGGCAGCAUGGAAAGUCUACACAAUAAGGGCAAUUCAUUAGAUUUGUUAUUUUCUACAUGACCUGGGUCAGAUGGACACCUUUUGUAUCAGUCAAAUAUUUAUUUGUGUGUUUUACAGGUCUUUCAUUUCAUACCCAGCAAUUACAGUGAGCCUGUAAAGCAGAGAUGAUAAAAGUGAUUUAAAACAAACACUCCAAAUCAACAGGAGAGGAGAUGAAGUUGUAACGGCAGAGCGAGACAGAGAGAGAGAGAAGCUGAGACAGAACAAGAGGGAGAAAGAGACAGAGAGAGAGAGAAGCUGAGAGAGAACGAGCGGGAGAGAGAGACAGAUAGAGAGAAGCAGAGAGAGAACAAGAGAGAGGGGGGUAAAACAGGGAAUGGACUCAGAGGGUAUGCUAAUUUGGUAUAGAGCAGACCUAACUCAAUCUAUUAAAUGUAUCAAAACAGGAACAUUUUACAUUAGGCUAGAAAUUCAAAAGGAAAUGAUCUCAACAGAGAAAAAGGUCCUCCAGUGUGCUACCUAUAUCCCCCCACUAGAAUCCCCAUACUUUAAUGAGACAGCUCCUCCAACCUGGAGGGGGAAAUCAAUCAUUUCCAGGCCCAGGGACAUGUACUAGUCUGUGAUGACCUAAAUGCCAGAACCGGACAAGAACCUGACACCCUCAGCACACAGGGGGACAAACACCUACCUGGAGGAGACAGCAUUCCCUCCCCCAUAUGCCCCCCUAGGCACAACUACGACAACAUAACCAACAAAAAUGGGUCACAACUCCUGCGGCUCUGUCGCACGCUGGGUAUGUACAUAGUCAAUCAUAGGCUUAGAGGGGACUCCUAAGGUAGGAACACCUAUAGCUCAUCUCUUGGUAGUAGUACUGUAGACUACUUUAUCACUGACAUCAACCCAGAGUCACUCAGAGCGUUCACAGUCAGCCCACUGACACCCCUAUCAGCCCAGAGCAAAAUCACAGUCUACUUGAACAGAGCACUACUCUAUCAUGAGGCAUCAAAGUCAAAGGAAUUGAAUAAUAUUAAGAAAUGCUAAAGAUGGAAGGAAAGUAGUGUGGAAACCUACCAAAAAACGAUUAGGCAACAACAAAUUCAAUUCCUUUUCGACAACUUUCUGGACAAAAUGUUUCAUUGUAAUAGUGAAGGUGUAAACUUGGCAGUAGAAAAUCCAAACAGUAUAUUUUACCUCUCACAUUCCCUAUCCAAUCUAAAAAUGUCAAACAGAAAUCGAAGAAAGUGAACAACAAUGACAAAUGGUUUGAUGAAGAAUGCAAAAACUUAAGAAAGAAAUUGAGAAACCUAUCGAACCAAAAACAUGGAGACCCAGAAAACCUGAGCCUACGCCUUCACUAAGGUGAAUCACUAAAAUAAUACAGAAAUACACUACGGGAAAAAGAAGGAACAGCAUGUCAGAAAUCAGCUCAAUGUAAUCCAUAGACUCUAACCACUUCUGGGAAAAUUGGAAAACACUAAACAAACAAUAAUACAGAGUUAUCUAUUCAAAAUGGAGGUGUAUGGGUAAACCACUUCUCCAGUCUUUUUGGCCCUAUAACAAAGAACAAACAGCAAAAACAUAUACAUGAUCAAAUACAAAUCUUAGAAUAAACUAUUAAAGACUACCAGAACCCACUAGAUUCUCUAACUACAUUGAAUGAACUACAGGACAAAAUACAAACCCUCCAACCCAAAAAGGCCUGUGGUAUUGAUUGUAUCCUCAAUGAAUUGAUAAAAUAUGCAUACCACAAAUUCCAAUUGGCUAUACUUAAACUUUUUAACAUCAUCAUUAGCUCUGGUAUCUUCCCAAAGGAUUUGGAAUCACAAAAGUGGAGACAAAUUUGACCCCAAUAACUAUCGUGGGAUGUGCAUCAACAGCAACCUUGGGAAAAUCCUCUGCAUUAUCAUCAACAUCAGACUCGUACAUUUCCUCAGUGAAAACAAUGUACUGAGCAAAUGUCAAAAUGGCUUUUCACCAAAUUACCGUAUGAUAAAAACCACAUAUUCACACUGCACACCCUAAUUGACAAACAAACAAACAAAAACUAAGGCAAAGUCUUCUCAUGCUUUGUUAAUUUCGAAACACAUUUCUUUCCACAGAGCCGUGGGGUGAGACAGGGAUGCAGCUUAUGCCCCACCCUCUUCAACAUAUAUAUCAACGAAAUUGACGAGGGCACUAGAACAGUCUGCAGCACCGGCCUCACUCUACAAGAAUCUGAAGUCAAAUGUCUACUGUUGUCUGAUAAUCUGGUGAUUCUGUCCCCGACCAAAGAGGGCCUACAACAGCACCUAGAUCUUCUGCACAGAUUCUGUCAGACCUGGAACCUGACAGUAAAUCUCAGUAAGACAUAAAUAAUGGUGUUCCAAAAAAAGUCCAGUUGCCAGGACCACAAAGACAAAUUCCAUCUAGACACUGUUGCCCUAGAGCGGUAGUUCCCAUACUUUUUAUAGUGCCGUACCCCUUCAAACAUUCAACCUCCAGCUGCGUACCCCCUCUAGCACCAGGUUCAGCGCACUUUCAAAUGUUGUUUUUUGACAUCAUUGUAAGCCUGCCAUACACACACUAUAGGAUACAUUUAUUAAACAUAAGAAUUCGUGAGUUUUUGUCACAACCCGGCUCGUGGGAAGUGACAAAGUGCUCUCAUAGGACCAGGGCACAAAUAAUAACAUAAUCAAUCAUUUUGCUCUUUAUUUAGCCAUCUUAAAUAUAAAACCUUAUUUGUUCAUCAGAAAUGGUGAAUAACUCACCACAGGUUAAUGAGAAGGGUGUGCUUGAAAGGAUGCACAUAACUCUGCAAUAAUGGGUUGUAUUGGAGAGAGUCUCAGUCUUAAAUAAUUUUCCACACAUAGUCUGUGCCUGUAUUUAGUUUUCAUGCUAGCGAGGGCCGAAGUACCUGUGGAAUUGCAAAUCCAACUGACUAAGGUGCUUUGCUAUAUCACAUUUGACAUUGUCCGUAUGCUUGAGUUAAUUUGCACACCAAAAAUCAUACAUUGAUGGAAAGACACUAAUCAUAGCCUCGAUUUUGUCCCGCACAGUGAAUAUAGUUGCGGAGAGUUCCUGUAAUCCUAGAUUCAGAUCAUUCAGGUGAGAAAAAACAUCACCCAGAUAGGCCAGUUGUGUGAGAAACUCGUCAUCAUGCCAAACGGUGAGACACGUGGAAAUGAUGGUCAGUAAAGACAAAUGUAAGCUUGUCUCUCCAUUCAAAAAAAGGUGUCAAUACUUUGCCUCUUGAUAACCAGCGCACUGCUGUAUGUUGUAAAAGCUUUACAUGGCCCCUGCCCAUAUCAUUGCAAAGUGCAGAAAAUACACGAGAUUUCAGGGGCCUUGCUUUAGCAAAGUUAACCAUUUUCACUGUAGUGUCCAAAACGUAUUUCAAGCUGUCAGACAUUCCCUUGGCAGCCUCUCAGUGGAUGCUGCAUUGUACCCAAGUGGCGUCGGGAGCAACUGCGUGCACGCGCGUUACCACUCCGCUAUGUAUCCCUGUCAUGGCUUUUGCGCCAUCAGUACAGAUACAAACAUGAGCAGCAGCUACGUUUGGCUACAUACAGACGGUUAGUGGAAUUCCCACAAGAGAGUAACGGUUAAUGUGAUUGGAUGUUAAUUAUUUGACUAGGCUACCUGUAUUUGACAUAGUGUUGUUAUUUCGCUGAACACUAGAUGGUUUAAUUUUAUUUUUGGCAGUGAAACGAGGCUACUCAGGCAAGAAAAAAACCUCACCCAAAUGUAUAGCCUCGUUGGAAAAUGUAAAUGGAUUGUUUGAAAAUGUUAAGAAACAUAUAAAUAAAAACAUUUAAAAAGUGAAUCACAUUUUAUUUGGCGUACCCCCAACGGCAUUGCGCGUACCCCUGGGGAAUAACUGCCCUAGAGCACACAAAAAACGAUACAUAUCUCAGCCUAAACAUAACCUCCCGGGCACUCGAGGGCGCCAGGCUACCCUUGGACUCACCUGGACUCCUUUACGUUGUUGAUUAUAUCUGUCUGUUCCUUGGUGGUGUUCCCUGUGUCCCCAUUAAUUGUUGUUAUGUGUUCCUGUCCAGACGCUGUUCCUGUUCCGUUUCAUGUCCGUCAGCUAUUAAACCUUCACUCCCUCUACCUGCUUCUCAUCUCCUGCAUCAAUCCUUACAUGCCACAGGUAACUUCCACAAAGCUGUGAACGAUCUGAGACACAAGGCAAUAAGGCCCUUCUAUGUCAUCAAAAGGAACAUCAAAUUUGACAUACCAAUUAGGAUCUGGAUAAAAAUACUUGAAACAGUUAUUGAACCCAUUGCCCUUUAUGGUUUUGAGGUCUGGGAACCGCUCACCAAAUGGGACAAACACCAAAUUAAGACUCUGCGUGCAGAAUUCUGCAAAAAUAUCCUUGGUGUACAACAUAAAACACCAAAUAAUGCAUGCAGAGUAUAAUUAGGCCGAUACCUACGAAUGAUCAAAAUACAGAAAAGAGACCUUAAAUUCUACAACCCCCUAAAAGGAAGCGAUUCCCAAACAUUCCAUAACAAAGUCAUCACCUACAGAGAGAUUAACCUGUAGAAGAGUCCCCUAAGCAAGCUGGUCAGCAACACAAUUAGACCAAGCCAAAUCAUGAGAAAACAAAACGAUAAUUACUUGACACAUUGAAAAGAAUCAAUAAAAACUGAGCAAACUAGAAUGCUAUUUGGCCCUGAAUGGAGUACACAGUGGCAGAAUACCUGACCAAUGUGACUGAACCAAACUUAAGGAAAGCUUUGACUAUGUACAGACUCAGAGAGCAUAGCCUUGCUAUUGAGAAAGGCCGCCGUAGGCAGACCUGGCUCUCAAGAGAAGACAGGCUAUGUGCACGAUCCCCACAAAAUGAGGUGGAAACUAAGCUGCCCUUCCUAACCUCCUGCCAAAUGUACGACCAUAUUAGAGACAGAUAUUUCCCUCAGAUUACACAGACCCACAAAGAUUUAGAAAACAAUCCCAAUUUCGAUAAACCCCCAUAUCUACUGGGUGAAAUACCACAGUGUGCCAUCACAGCAGCACAAUUUGUGACCUGUUGCCACAAGAAAAGGGCAACCAGUGAAGAACAAACACCAUUGUAAAUACAACCCAUAUUUAUGUUUAUUUAUCUUCCCUUUUGUACUUUAACUAUUUGCACAUAACAUGACAUUUGAAAUGUCUUUAUUAUUUUGGAACUUUUGUGAGUGUAAUUACUGUUCAUUUUUAUUCUAUUUCUAUUUCUACUUCACUUGUUUAUUGCUUUGGCAAUGUUAACAUAUGUUUCCAUGCCAAUAAAGCCCUUAAAUUGACAUUUAAUUGAGAUAGAUGAAUAGAGAGAACAAUAGAGAGAGGAGGGGAGAAAGAGAGACAUAGAGAGAAGCAGAGAGAACAAGCGAGAGAGAGAGGGGGGGAGAAAGAGAGACAGAGAGAGAAGCAGAGAGAACAAGAGGGAUAAAGAGAGACAGACAGACAGAGAUCAAAACUAGGUCAGCAGUACCUCUGGAACUCUACUGUCCUGCUGACUUUUUGAGCCCAAUUCUCAGUGUGUGUGUGUGUGUGUGUGUGUGUGUACACACACUCCAGGGGCUCACUCAAAGCUGUGUUUGUUUUUCCUUCUGAAUCUGAUUGAAGAAAUAUUGGGGUCUUGGUAUAGAAUAUUGGAAAUAAAAAAAAAGCCCAAAUGUCAUUUUAUAUUCUAAGAAUAAAAACACUAUAUAUAACUUAAA